ensembl:lncRNA
CCAUAUGGAAGAGGCAAAAGAAGACAUCUGAAAUCAUCCUUUGUCCUUCUUUCUUACAAAUGAAUAUCAGCCUGUCCAGCAUCCUGCUGCAUUGCUUUAUGAGGUGUGAUUGCUCCCCGAGUAUCUGAGUCUCCCCUUUUCAGCCCAGAUAUCAACCUGGACCAGGAGUCAUAGUGUUUCUGACCAAAGGCUCAGUUGCCCAGCAUCUCAACUGCAGUGAAUGCUCUGGAGCAGAUGUUUGAGGAGCAUUCCUUCCUUUUCAGCCUCUGGCAGCUGGCACACGGAGGAGGAGUUUAUAUUCAGCCUGUCCUGUCCCACAUGUAUUUCUUUUUGCUUCUUUUGACUCAUCUGUCCUCCAGCAUUGCAGGCAUUGAAACAGGCCUGAAUUCUUCCCAUCAGUAGAGGGCAGUACUGUCCCAACUGUCCCAGUAAAGGGACGUGUUGCAAGAGUGGUAAAGUGUUUAAUUAAAGCUUGAGGCCUUUUUGGCACAGCUCUGUGCUUUGGUCUCCUAGUAAACCAACUUAAGAACUGCUCGGGUUACAAAAGCCAGGAGUUAAUCAGUAACUCAGACAUUUAUCACUUGUGCAUUUAGCUAUUUAGUCCUCCCUUGCAAUACCUGCCUUUUUUUUUUUUUUUUCCUAAUCUCCAAUUUAAUGAGUAACUACACUGGCAAGGAGAUGACAUGCACCUGUUCUCCCAACAUAUAGGAACUUUUGCACUGUUGGCCAUUUUGACUUGUAUAAGACAAGUGGUCCCUUCUUGGAGAUGAUGGAGGAGAAGGACAUUUGUGGGUAUGCACACUGUGUGAAGUAAUCUUCUGGGAAAUCUUUACCUUUCAUGGGAAAAGGCGGACACAAAUAAAUUCAAAAUGUAUCUUAGGAGGAGGUGAUUAAAGAACUUGUCAUUUCAGACAAAAACAUUGAGGGGGGAAAAAUAAAAACAAAUUAACAUCAACAACAAGAUCAAAAGGGUAUUCUUAUUUUUUGUUUUUCCAGUAAAAAGUUUGCAAUUCCCACUUCCAAGUGACCUUUGAUAAAUUUCCAUUCCAUAAUUCAGAGUUGCUUGGUGGAGCUUGGGUUGCUUCAUGUAACUCCUGAGCUGGAUGUAAUGCUCAAAGAUCCUGAGGCCCAGGUCUCCAGGAGCUCCAGGGCCCUUUUCCUCUGAAUUUUGGAUGAUAUCUUGGUGCUGAAACUUUGUCAAUAGAGACUGUCCAAUCUGGGGGACCUCUGGUAGAAACUGUAUCAGAAGGGAGAACAUUUCACAUUUCUGUAGUGUGGAAAGAAUAUGAGUGAAUGGGCAAUUGAUAUAGAGCUGAAGGAGAAGAGACCGGACUGGCACUGGUGUCACAACAAGAUUCUGCCCUAUGGAGUGUGACAUCUCUGGGCAGAUGCAUGGAAAUGGGGUGAGAGAUGGUGGGAAAGGGCAGGAAGGACAGGGAUCAUGAAUAGAAGAGCAACCCUGCAGCUGUGUUUCAGUGACGUUGGAACAAAAAUCAGGACUGUGAGAUAAGAAAUAUAACAGGAUAUGAUUUUUAUCAGAUGAGUUGGCACAGCUGGAAAUGGCAGAGGACUGCAAGCCACACGCCUACAUGCUGGUGGUUUACCCAUGUGCAGCAGGCAGAAAUAAUUCCUUUUCCCUCAGACUUUAUUGCACUUAUAUUCAAAGAGCUGCAUGUGUGUUCCAUCACUUCUGAAAUGAAACUCUAACAUCAGCAGCAACCAAAACUUGUAAUAACGCUUUGCCUACCUAACAGUGAAUGCUCCAGCAGUGCUACAUGUGAAGCCUUAAUCUGAUCAAGCUUGAGAUUCAACAACACCAAGUGCAAGGUGCAGCACCUUGAUCUGGGCAAUCACAGACAUGAGUACGUUUUAUUUUUCCAGGUUGGAUGGAGCCCUGGGCAACCUGGUCUAGCCCACGGCUGGGAGACUGGAACUAGGUGACCAUUGAUGUCCCUUCCUACCUAAGCCAUUCAAUGAUUCUAUGAUUCUUCAGCUGGUGUUCUUGCUUCCCAUAUCCCCCUUUCAUUAUUUAAUUGUUUGUUUAACUCCAAACUCUGAAAUAUGCAUGAAAAAUUAAGGGGCAGAGGAGCACUUAAGAUCAUAAAGCACCUAUUUGAUCCUGUGGCUUUGCAGGAAACAAAGCUUUUGCCUUGUAAUCCUCUGGAACCCAAGGGAGAGCCAUCUGUCUGUCAGUACCAGAGAUAACUUCUCUUCUAGAGGAAUACAAAAUCUGAACCACAGCUGCAGCUGCAGCACUGCUAUCCGAGCUUUACGAGUGUUUUUAAGAGGCAAUUGAACAAUCAGUCCAGUAAGUAAAACUUGUGACUUGCUUUCUCCCACUCACACUUAGGAGAGUACAAAAGAUAUAAUAAUGUUCAUUGUUUGGGCUAAAAAUUACAUGGGGGAAGUAAUACUUCCCCUUAAAUGAAUCAGCUUGAGGCAGCUUUUUUUAAAGAAUGGUGUGUCGUGUUACAGGACAUUUCAGCUUCUGAGAAAUGCCAAUGCAACGUCUCCACAGAUCUGUGUUCACUCUCAGCAGGUCACUGGGCAAACCAAGCAUCUGCCUAGGGUUUCAAAAUGCUAAUACCCUUCAGAAAAUGUUAACUUUGGUUAGAUCCUGAUGAUUUGGACAAGAUAGAGCCUCUGUAGGCAGUGCUGUCCCAGGAGACAGUAAAGUCAAGCAGUUUAAUUGAGUAAGAAUUGGCAAAUCUUUGCUACAAACUGAUAUUUAUUUGCAUUGUGGCAGGAACACCGAUGUUGACCUGAUUUCUGCUUAAGGAACACCUGACUUUGUUUCCCACUUUCUCCCUUCCCACCUCAGUUCCUGGGGUGACAGGGCCAAGUUCCAGCAACAAUAGCUGAGUUCUGGCAUUUUGACAUCCAAACCAGGGAUUGUUGUUGCAAAACCAUGUGCAAUUCAGCGCUGAGCAAUGUGUUCCCUACACACAGCUCAGUGCAGUACACUGGGAUGGUUACUAUUAUCGACACUAUUAGGACAUACAGGAGAGGUAAGUGUGUAUGUUUCAAAGCAUAAUAGCAACAGGAUGGCAGAUGGACACACAUGGUUGAGUAGUUAUCACAUGUUUCUCAAUAGAACUUCUUAUCUGAAGUCAAAUUUUCAUGUUUACAUUUUGAACACUCAUAAACACUUGCUGAGCAAAAAGUAAAAUGCAAUAAAAAAGUACUUACCUUCAGGCACUGACCAAACUUAGGCAUAUCCCUGGGCAAAUUGCACCGAGUGUGCCCGAAAGUGCCCUUAGCACAGUAAUCUGUUAUGAGUGAUAAUGAAAAUUUAAUCAAUAACUGAUUUCCAGAGAUGUUUCAGCAGAUAUCACAAACCACCACUGAUCUUUGCUCAAGCACAUGACUUUCUGAAUCAACAUGUGAUGUCCAAGUGUGAUAGUAGGCAAAGUCUCCUGAACAGCAGCAGAAACAGGAGUUUGUUUCCUGGUUGGCAUCAAGAUGGAAAGUCUAUUUUUGGAUCUGUACAAGUUAAAAUUUCAGGACAUUUUUCCCAAAAGGAGUUUGCUCAUGUUUCUAGUUAGUUUUUGUCUCCUUCACAAGUUCAGCCAUGGUCUUAUUCAACUCCUGCUCGUUUAGUACAUACGUUUUGAGAUUGGUCUACAGGCCAGCACCUUCAGAAAGAGAAGCUUUCCUUCCUUAGGAGUAGAUCUAGAUUCCAUCCAUUCUGUUGGUUUUUACCAUUGAUGCAGACCUCAUUCCUUCUUUCCCGUGUGUAAUUCCAAUGAUGCUAUUCCAAGCAGUGCUCAGAAUAAACACAUAAUGUUCAUUCUGUCUCCCUUUUCAGCAUGAUGCAAUAGAAGGAACACCAAGCUGAGAUAAAGGUGACAUGGGGAACUGUUGUAGGCAGCUUGAAGGUAUAACUAUAUGCGAAAGCCCCACUGGUUCUGGAGUUGGCCUAUGGAUUUGCAAUGAAUGGAGCAACCAGAAAGGAAUGCAGAUAUAACGGAGAGCCCUCCCUGCCAUCUGCACCCAUGAGCCCACUGCAUCACAGGAUUUUUGCAGGCCCUGCCAUACAAAAAUAACCAAAACCAAGUGAAAAAGUGUUUAGUCUUACAAAUCUCAAAAUAAAAGGAACCUUGGAUAUGAGUGAUUCUUUCUCAUCUCUAAACAUAUAUGUACUUCCAUAAUGCUGAACUCAAUUCUUCUUUUCUUUAUCUUGCAUUUAAACAAUAGACCAGGUUUUAUGGUUCUAUGCGAAGAACUUGUUACACAAGCUCCAGUGACUCACAGUCUUGUUGAACACUGUAUUCCCAAGUACUAGCCUCUAACACCAGGAAUCCUGGUAAAUGGAAUUAAAUAUUUUGCAAGAACAUCUUGCUACAGCAUUUAAUACAUCUCUUGCAUAACUGACUCUUUUGGUGGGAUCUUUACUUUGGAAAAUAAAACAGAUAUAUGCAUGUAUUCAG